rnacentral:snRNA from 1 species
GCAGUGCAAGUACUAAAAUUAGAAUGUUACAGUGAAGAUUAGCAUGGCCCGUGCACAGGAAUUAUAUGCAAAUUCUUGACGUGUCUAUAUUUUUA